GGACUACUGGGGUAUCUAAUCCUGUUUGCUCCCCAUGCUUUCGUGCCUCAGCGUCAGUAUUAGUCCAGAAAGCCGCCUUCGCCACUGGUGUUCCUUCCGAUAUCUACGCAUUUCACCGCUACACCGGAAAUUCCGCUUUCCUCUACCAUACUCUAGCCUAAUAGUAUCAAAUGCAGUUCCUAGGUUAAGCCCAGGGAUUUCACAUCUGACUUAUUAAACCGCCUACGCACCCUUUACGCCCAGUAAUUCCGAUUAACGCUCGCACCCUCUGUAUUACCGCGGCUGCUGGCAC
rnacentral:rRNA from 1 species